UACGUAGGGUGCAAGCGUUAAUCGGAAUUACUGGGCGUAAAGCGUGCGCAGGCGGUUCGCUAAGACAGAUGUGAAAUCCCCGGGCUUAACCUGGGAACUGCAUUUGUGACUGGCGGGCUAGAGUAUGGCAGAGGGGGGUAGAAUUCCAUGUGUAGCAGUGAAAUGCGUAGAUAUCGGGAGGAACACCUGUGGCGAAGGCGGCCCCCCUGGUUGGAUACUGACGCUGAUACGCGAAAGCGUGGGGAGCAAACAGG
rnacentral:rRNA from 1 species